AACCAUAGAAACCUGCGGAGUACCUGCGGAGGGAUCAUUAUCGAGUUGCAAAACUCCAACCCUUUGUGAACAUACCUCAGUCGUUGCUUCGGCGGUGGACGGCCUUUUUUCGAAAAGGCCCGAAGCCGCCGGAGGUUCCAAACUCGUGUUUUGUUUAGUGUAUCUCUGAGCCUGAAAACAAAUAAUCAAAACUUUCAACAACGGAUCU
rnacentral:misc_RNA from 1 species